UCUUCACAAUGGACGAAAGUCUGAUGGAGCAACGCCGCGUGAGUGAAGAAGGUUUUCGGAUCGUAAAACUCUGUUGUUGGAGAAGAAUGUAUCUGAUAGUAACUGAUCAGGUAGUGACGGUAUCCAACCAGAAAGCCACGGCUAACUACGUGCCAGCAGCCGCGGUAAUACGUAGGUGGCAAGCGUUGUCCGGAUUUAUUGGGCGUAAAGCGAGCGCAGGCGGUUUCUUAAGUCUGAUGUGAAAGCCUUCGGCUCAACCGAAGAAGUGCAUCGGAAACUGGGAAACUUGAGUGCAGAAGAGGACAGUGGAACUCCAUGUGUAGCGGUGAAAUGCGUAGAUAUAUGGAAGAACACCAGUGGCGAAGGCGGCUGUCUGGUCUGUAACUGACGCUGAGGCUCGAAAGCAUGGGUAGCAAACAGGAUUAGAUACCCUGGUAGUCCAUGCCGUAAACGAUGAGUGCUAGGUGUUGGAGGGUUUCCGCCCUUCAGUGCCGCAGCUAACGCAUUAAGCACUCCGCCUGGGGAGUACGACCGCAAGGUUGAAACUCAAAGGAAUUGACGGGGCCCC
rnacentral:rRNA from 1 species